CCGCAAAAACCAGUAAGGGAGAUAAUUAGUCAUGGCAGCCAAGUUGUGUAUGGGUUGCCGUUUACAGAACAGAGACACACUGGCCAAGUAGGACAACCCUUAGUUCAUGUGUCAGCCAAAAAGCAAACAACAGGGGAGGCUAUUUACGUUGACGAUUUACCAGCCGUUGAAGGCCAGUUGUACGCUGGGUUUGUGACUAGUACAUCCGCUCACGCUAACGUCACCAAUGUGGAUGUGAUUUCUGCACUAGCUACCCCUGGGGUGGUGGGCUACGUCUGCUACAAAGAUGUACCUGGGAGCAAUAACUGUGUCCUGGUUGAUCCAGUCUUUGCACCUGACAAGGUAGUGCACGAAGGGCAGGUCAUCGGGGUGGUUGUGGCAGAGAGUUUGGAGGCGGCCAAAGCUGCUGCCAAGAAGGUCAAGGUCACCUACGAGGUUCUGGCACCAAUCAUCACCA